rnacentral:sRNA from 1 species
CAUAAGCGAUCCGAUCAGUUGCCCAAUGCCAGGGCAUGGGGCCAAAGCAAUAUCCUCUGGAUCACCUGACGU